GGAGGCUGAGACAGGAGGAUCGC
rnacentral:piRNA from 1 species